ACACAAACUUAUUCAGUGAUGUAACGGACCGUGUGUUUAUAGCUCUACACAAACUUAUUCAGUGAUGUAACGGACCGUGUGUUUAUAGCUCUAUACAGACUUAUUCAGUGAUGUAACGGACCGUGUGUUUAUAGCUCUACACAAACUUAUUCAGUGAUGUAACGGACCGUGUGUUUAUAGCUCUACACAUACUUAUUCAGUGAUGUAAUGGACCGUGUUUAUAGCUCUACACAUACUUAUUCAGUGAUGUAACGGACUGUGUGUAUAUAUUUAUUCAAUGAUGUAACAGACUGUGUGUUUAUAGCUCUACACAUUUUUGCACAUCAUGUUGUGGGGGUUUUCCGCCCAAGUAAUCUCACUUAUGAUUCACAUUUGAUGUACAUGAAAGUGAAUAAAAUAAAUAUAACUAUC
rnacentral:sRNA from 1 species